rnacentral:tRNA from 3 species
GGGCGAAUAGCUCAGCGGUAGAGCGCUUCCCUUACAAGGAAGAUGUCGGGGGUUCGAUCCCCUCUUCGCCCA